ACGGAAGGCAGCAGUGGGGAAUAUUGGGCAAUGGGCGAAAGCCUGACCCAGCGACGCCGCGUGAAGGAAGAAGGUCUUCGGAUUGUAAACUUUUGUCGUCGGGGAAGAAGAAAGUGACGGUACCCGAUAAGAAAGCCACGGCUAACUACGUGCCAGCAGCCGCGGUAAUACGUAGGUGGCGAGCGUUAUCCGGAUUUACUGGGUGUAAAGGGUGUAUAGGCGGACCGACAAGUCAGGUGUGAAAUCCAUUGGCUUAACCAAUGAACUGCACUUGAAACUGUAGGCCUUGAGAGUCGGAGAGGUAAGCGGAAUUCCUAGUGUAGCGGUGAAAUGCGUAGAUAUUAGGAAGAACACCAGUGGCGAAGGCGGCUUACUGGACUGUAACUGACAUUGAGGCUCGAAAGCGUGGGGAGCAAACAGGAUUAGAUACCCUGGUA
rnacentral:rRNA from 1 species